UGUAGCUCAAUUGGUAGAGUGCUUGCCUACUAAGCAUGACAUCCUGGGUUCAAUUCCCAGCA
rnacentral:tRNA from 1 species